CUUUAUUGGAGAGUUUGAUCCUGGCUCAGGACGAACGCUGGCGGCAUGCCUAAUACAUGCAAGUCGAGCGGACUUGAAGAGAAGCUUGCUUCUCUGAUAGUUAGCGGCGGACGGGUGAGUAACACGUAGGCAACCUGCCCUCAAGUUUGGGACAACUACCGGAAACGGUAGCUAAUACCGAAUAAUUGUUUUCUUCGCCUGAAGAGAACUGGAAAGACGGAGCAAUCUGUCACUUGGGGAUGGGCCUGCGGCGCAUUAGCU
rnacentral:rRNA from 1 species